rnacentral:rRNA from 1 species
AUACGGAGGGUGCAAGCGUUAUUCGGAAUCACUGGGCGUAAAGGACGCGUAGGCGGGUUGGCAAGUCAGAUGUGAAAUCCUACAGCUUAACUGUAGAACUGCAUUUGAAACUGCUAAACUAGAGUAUGGGAGGGGGAGAUGGAAUUAGUGGUGUAGGGGUAAAACCCGUAGAUAUCACUAGGAAUACCGAAAGCGAAGGCGAUCUCCUGGAACAUAACUGACGCUAAGGCGUGAAAGCGUGGGGAGCAAACAGGAUUAGAAACCCUAGUAGUCC